AUUGAACGCUGGCGGCAUGCCUUACACAUGCAAGUCGAACGGUAACAGGUCUUCGGAUGCUGACGAGUGGCGAACGGGUGAGUAAUACAUCGGAACGUGCCUAGUAGUGGGGGAUAACUACUCGAAAGAGUGGCUAAUACCGCAUGAGAUCUACGGAUGAAAGCAGGGGAUCGCAAGACCUUGUGCUACUAGAGCGGCCGAUGGCAGAUUAGGGAGUUGGUGGGAUAAAAGCUUACCAAGCCGACGAUCUGUAGCUGGUCUGAGAGGACGAUCAGCCACCCUGGGACUGAGACCCGGCCCAGACUCCUACGGGAGGCAGCAGUGGGGAAUUUUGGACAAUGGGCGAAAGCCUGAUCCAGCAAUGCCGCGUGCAGGAUGAAGGCCUUCGGGUUGUAAACUGCUUUUGUACGGAACGAAAAGCCCUGGGUUAAUACCCUGGGGUCAUGACGGUACCGUAAGAAUAAGCACCGGCUAACUACGUGCCAGCCGCCGCCGUAAAAC
rnacentral:rRNA from 1 species